GGAGGGAUCAUUACCAGAGUGCCCUAGGCUCUCCAACCCAUUGUGAACUUACCAAACGUUCCCUCGGCGGGCUCAGCGCGCGGCGGCCUCCGGGCCUCCGGGCGUCCGCCGGGGAAAACCAAACCCUGAUUUAAUCGUAUUUCUCUGAGGGGCGAAAGCCCGAAAACAAAAUGAAUCAAAACUUUCAACAACGGAUCUCUUGGCUCUGGCAUCGAUGAAGAACGCAGCGAAAUGCGAUAAGUAAUGUGAAUUGCAGAAUUCAGUGAAUCAUCGAAUCUUUGAACGCACAUUGCGCCCGCCGGCACUCCGGCGGGCAUGCCUGUCCGAGCGUCAUUUCAACCCUCAGGCCCACCCUUCCGGGGGAGCGGGCCUGGUUCUGGGGAUCGGCGGCCCUCGCGGCCCCCGUCCCUCAAAUUCAGUGGCGGUCGCGCCGCAGCCUCCCCUGCGUAGUAGCACAACCUCGCACCGGAGAGCGGAACGACCACGCCGUAAAACACCCAACUUUUUCAGGUUGACCUCGGAUCAGGUAGGAAUACCCGCUGAACUUAAGCAUAUC
rnacentral:rRNA from 1 species